rnacentral:RNase_P_RNA from 1 species
GAAGCUGACCAGACAGUCGCCGCUUCGUCGUCGUCCUUUCGGGGAGACGGGCGGAGGGGAGGAAAGUCCGGGCUCCAUAGGGCAGGGUGCCAGGUAACGCCUGGGGGGGGAAACCCACGACCAGUGCAACAGAGAGCAAACCGCCGAUGGCCCACGCAAGUGGGAUCAGGUAAGGGUGAAAGGGUGCGGUAAGAGCGCACCGCGCGGCUGGUAACAGUCCGUGGCACGGUAAACUCCACCCGGAGCAAGGCCAAAUAGGGGUUCAUAAGGUACGGCCCGUACUGAACCCGGGUAGGCUGCUUGAGCCAGUGAGCGAUUGCUGGCCUAGAUGAAUGACUGUCCACGACAGAACCCGGCUUAUCGGUCAGUUU